rnacentral:lncRNA from 1 species
UAAAGUGCAGGCUAAGACAUAGUUUUUUUGGCAAAAUUCAGUCAGACUACAUCAAGUAAACUCCCUAAGUCUCCUAGUAUAAUUCAUGGCACAAAAACUGGGGAAAAAACAGGGAGGAUAUGUUUAUAAGUUCAGUUUGGGUUUUUUGUUGAGUGAAUGUCUCCAGUCAUAGAGAUGCAAGUGUAGAUACACCGUAAGAGUAGUAUGAACAGGUGCAUAACCUCUCCAGAAUCUUUUCCUUCUGUUAUCCAUGCUACAGUGUUUAUGGAGGAUGUUUUCUUCACCUAUGAAGUGUGAUGGGGGCUGAAGCUGCAGCAAGACUCAUGCUGUUCACCUCAGGAGCUGACACAGUAAAUGUGGAUAAACCUCAAUCCUUUAAUAUCUUUAUGACUUCUUUCCCAGUUACCCCAGCGAAUUUACAGAUUGAGGUUAAAACCACAACAGGAUUAUCUUCCUGGAAAGAAUAGGCUUCCCUUUAAGGUUUCACAUAGAUACUGGGUGAGGAAGGAGCCCUAAAUUGCUUGAAAAAUUGAAUGCUCUUUGGGCAAAGCAGGAAGCCUUGCUAUGGAAGAGCAUCAUUUGAACAUAAAUCAGAGUCUCAGUACAAACAGAGUGCUCAGGACAUCAAGAUGGUUAACCAGAGAGCCUGGCCAGAAUAUCUGCGGUGGAGAGAAACGAUCUUGUUGGGAGAAGGAUGACAAUAAUUGGGGACUUAGAAUAAAGGCUAAAAAUGAUUCAAAGAGAAUGCAAAAAGAAUCAGGCACACAUCCUUUACUCUGUUGUGCAAAUCUCACCUUACUGUGUGUUUGUAUUCUAUUCCUCCACAAUCUUUAUUUUAUUUUAUUUUUAUGUUCACAGAGAUUUGUUGGUGCCAACUAAAUGAGCCCAACAGCCAGUGACAACAGAACUGCACUAAAAAAAGUCCCUCAUCAGCUCUUGAGAGCAGGUUCCUUAAAGGUGAACAAUAUUCCACAUACAAGGACUUUUUCAGCACCAUGCAUUAGAAAUGGAAGUGAAUGUUUAUUAUUUUUUGUAUAAGUUGGUUGAUACGGCUUUUCAGCUUCCCUCAGUAUCAUUAUCCAAAUUUUGUAGAUGACACUAAAGCUCAGAGGAGUUAAACCAUUUUCCUCAAAUCACAUAGUUUUAAAUAGGAAAACCAGAUAUGAAAAGCAGAUUUUUUUCUAAAUUAAAAAAAAAAAAAAAACUUGAGCUCUUGCUUUACCCUAGCACAUAGUCUCACCAUCUGUUUUCUCCAUGCCAGGUCAUUCAUGUAACAUUCAUUCACAUAACAAAUACAAAUAAAUGAGUGGAUUCAUUCAUCAGCUAUUAAUUCAGAAUCUCUUUUGUGUCUACCACACUAGGCUCAAGACUUCCCAGUGUCUUUGUCUCCUCUCCCUCAAAUCUCUCCACCCAAUGUCUUGACAAAUACUGUAGAUCCUUCCUGCACAGCAUCACCAGAAUGUUUUUCUUUCUUUUCAUUCACCUCUGUCAUCAUCCAUGCUAUGGUGUUUAUGGAGGAUGUAUUCUGCAGCAGGAAGUGUGAUGGGCACUGACGCUGCAGAAAGACUCCUGUUGUCCACCUCGGGAGCUGACACGAUAAAUGCGGGUAAAUCUCAAUCCUUUAAUAUCUUUAUGACUUCUUUCUCUUUCUCUUCAAUUUCUAUUUUCUCAUGUUCAAGCUCUGACAUUCAAAACUAAACACCUUUCUCUAACAUGUUGCUUUAAUUAUUUAAGCAUUCUGCCUGGGAUUUUUUCAAUUACUCUUGGGAGUUUUCAUAAAACUCUACCAACAUAUCUCCAAGUGGCCAGGCUUUUCAAUCACUGCUUCCCUCCGUGUGUAUUUCACACACACACACACACACACACACACACACAGCACUUAAAUUGAACAGGUUUAUUUCUUCACACAGGAAUUCCUACGAACAGCCCGGUUUUCUCCACCAUAUGUCCACUCCUUCUCUGCAUAGCUGAAUUUUGAUUCUUACACUCUAAUAUUUUACAUAUUCUUACACUCUGAUAUGAUCUUGUCUCUUAUUCUUUAUGGCUCUGCUCUGUAAUUUUGUUGUUGUUGUUCUGAGAUAUAGUUGGACAUGUAACUUGUACAUGACACACCUUAGCAAGGAGGCAACCUAUAUCUCAGAUGCAAGUGAAAGAAGCACUCCCCAGGGGUUUCCUAAGGUAGUGGUCAGCACGCUGGCUUCAUUCCUGAAAGGGCCUAGUUAUGAAAACAACAGGAGCUUUUUGCCUUCCAGAAAUCUGUACCAUCUCAAAAUCCCCAGAGAGUCUCAGCUACAAGGAACAAGUGAUAAUACUAUCUCACUUUUAUAAACACACACACACAACACACACACACAAAAUCAUUUAAUCAUUUUUAAUUAUUUAAUCAUUUUUUAAAAAUCAGUGACACUUUAGAUGGGCAGGUCUAGGCAGGGCCUCCUUUCCUGGAAUGUGCCUUUUUCUGUCCCGGAAUACCCUAAACUUGACAUUUUGGCAGUGUGAGUUUUCCCUUUUUGACUUUCUCCUUGUUCCCUUUCCUCUUCCUUCUUUGCAGAGAAUGAGUAGCCACUGCACCUUGCCCUGGGCCAUCAGUGAGAAGAUCUGCUCUUAGUAGAGCCCUGCUUUCCCGCUGAAGGCCCUGAAAUCCCCUGUGUUCCAGGCCACCCACUAAGGAUCAAUAAAGCUCCCCUGAUGUGGGGGAAUUAGCUCAAGUGGUAGAGCGCUUGCUUAGCAUGCAAGAGGUAGUGGGAUCGAUGCCCACAUUCUCCAAACUUUAUUAUUUAGACCCUGGGUCUCCAAACACUCAGGUCUCCAAACCCAAGUCAGAGAACAGGAUGCUGCUUUGGUUCAAGAUGUAGGAGCAGCAACAAUACAGGGCUGGUGACG